AGGGACACAUUAGGGUUCUUUAUUGCCGAGUCUCCAAAGGAAAUCAAAAGAGCCUUCUUUUACUGUGCCACUUGUCAUAACGAUGUGUAUAAUCCUGAGCUAAUUGCAAAAUGUGGCUGCAAAACCAGGACCCGACUGCACAUCACAGGAACAGCAAUAAAGUUAAUGAAAAGUGGCACGAAGGAAUUCACCACUGGUGCUGCAAAAACACAGGA